AAUACAGGACACACAAUAAAAUUUGACUUUCAAGUAAACAAAUAAUUUUUAAUAUAAAUUAUAUCACAUGUAGUAUUUGGGACAUACUUAUACUGAAAAAUUAUCCUUUAUUUAUCUGAAAUUCAAAUUUAAUUGGGCAUUCUGUAUUUU
rnacentral:miRNA from 1 species